rnacentral:rRNA from 1 species
AUGUACCAUAUAACUGGAAUUAACCCAUGCAAGUCGAAGAAGGAUUGGACGGUGCUACCGGCUGGCGUCAAGUUCGAUCCCACGGAUCAGGAGCUGAUCGAGCACCUUGAGGCCAAAGUGAGUGCUGACAGCGCGAGAUCUCACCCUCUCAUCGAUUUGUUCAUACCAACCAUCGACAGCGAGCACGUCAUAUGCUACACCCAUCCUGAGAAACUUCCAGGUAUCACACUGAGUGGCCUAAUCAAGCAUUUCUUCCAGCGCAAUUCUAGGGCGUUCAAAAGGGGCACGUGGACGCGUCGCAAGAUACAGUCGGAGUGCGGCAUGCACGCGAUGUGGCAAAACACCGGCAAUACCUUGUCGAUGAUGGUCAACGGCCGACAGACGGGCAGCAAAAAGGUUCUGGUGCUGCACACCAACAAGAACUUCGACCAGCAGAGGACCAACUGGGUGAUGCACCAGUACCACCUCGGGGACCUGGAGCAAGAGAAGGAGCGGGAGAUGGUCCUCUGCAAGAUUUUCUACCAGACAAACACUAGGGCCAGGAGUAAAAAGAUUAUAAGUUAG